rnacentral:rRNA from 1 species
UACGUAGGGACCGAGCGUUGUCCGGAAUCAUUGGGCGUAAAGAGCGUGUAGGCGGCCACUUAAGUCCUGCGUGAAAUCUUGCGGCUCAACCGCAAGCGGUCGUGGGAAACUGGGUGGCUAGAGUGCGGGAGAGGAGAGUGGAAUUCCUGGUGUAGCGGUGGAAUGCGCAGAUAUCAGGAAGAACACCCGUGGCGAAGGCGGCUCUCUGGGCCGAAACUGACGCUGAGGAGCGAAAGCGUGGGGAGCGAACAGG